UGGGCGCCGAACAUGUUCCCGCCCUGGACAUAUUCCCUUCUGGACAUUUCCCCCUCCGGACAUUUUCUACUCAAUUAUCUUUAUAAUAAGAGCGAAAUAAUAAGUAAAUGAAUAGUAAAACAGACGACUAAAGAUAAGGAACAUAUAAUAAAAAAGAAAUAUGAGAAGUAAGAAAGAAAGAGGGAAACACAGGAAGUUUUCGGAUGUUCUGUGCGCGUUCCCGAGGCCCUUCGACUUUCCAUCCCAGAAACGAUAAACGCGGUGAGCAGCGCAUUCACAGUAGUUACGAUUAUUUUCAUAAUCCAGUGUGGUAGUUUUAAGAAGCGAGUUCUUGCAUUCAUCCUCCGCGAGCCUCGGCGGGGAUAAGGAGCGCCAGCGAGCCCAAGGUCUCUCUGGCGAGCGUGGCAGUGCUGGAGGGCUCCCCGAGGGAAGCCUUGGUGUUCCCAGGGGCGUCCGCGGAGUUACCGGAGAUCUGCACGGGUAGAUGGGGCUCGUUAGCCGUGGUAGGCAGUCCAUCUAGGAGAGCAAACUCCGAACAAUAUACCCGGGCAGGUGAGGCUCGUUAGCCGUGGUAGGCAAUUCGCCUAGGAGAGAAAACUCCGAACAAUAAACCCGGGCAGGUGGAGGUCGUUAGCGUGAGCAGUUCACCUAGGAGAGCAAACUCCGAUCACAAACCCGGGCAGGUGGAGGUCGUUAGCGUGAGCAGUUCACCUAGGAGAGCAAACUCCGAUUACAAACCCGGGCAGGUGGAGCUCGUUAGCGAAAGCAGUUCACCUAGGAGAAGGAAAACUCUGACCACAAACCCGGGCAGGUGGAGCUCGUUAGCCGUGGUAGGCAAUCUGCCUAGGAGAGCAAACUCCGAACAAUAAACCCGGGCAGGUUGGACUCGGUAGCCGUCAUAGGCAAUACACCUAGGAGAGCAAACUCCGAACAAAAAACCCGGACAGGUUGGGCUCGUGAGCCGUCAUAGGCAAUACACCUAGGAGAGCAAACUCCGAACAAUAAACCCGGGCAGGUUGGGCUCGUGAGCCGUCAUAGGCAAUACACCUAGGAGAGCAAACUCCGAACAAUAAACCCGGGCAGGUUGGGCUCGUGAGCCGUCAUAGGCAAUACACCUAGGAGAGCAAACUCCGAACAAUAAACCCGGGCAGGUGGAGCUCGUUAGCCGUGGUAGGCAAUUCGCCUAGGAGAGGGACAACUCCGAACAACAAACCCGGGCAGGUGGAGCUCGUUAGCCGUGGUAGGCAAUUCGCCUAGGAGAGGGACAACUCCGAACAACAAACCCGGGCAGGUGGAGCUCGUUAGCGUGAGCAGUUCAUCUAGGAGAGCAAACUCCGAUUACAAACCCGGGCAGGUGGUGGUCGUUAGCGUAAGCAGUUCACCUAGGAGAGCAAACUCCGAUUACAAAUCCGGGCAGGUGGAGGUCGUUAGCGUGAGCAGUUCACCUAGGAGAGCAAACUCCGAUUACAAACCCGGGACGGUGGAGAUCGUUAGCCGCGAGGCAGUUCACCUAGGAGAAGGAUAACUCUGACCACAAACCCGGGCAGGAGGGGGUCGUUAGCCGUGGUAGGCAGUCCUCCUAGGAGAAGGAAAACUCCGAAUUCAAACCAACCAAACACACACACACACACACACACGACCAACCAACCGGGGAGGUGGGGCUCGUUAUAGGCUUCGUAGACAAUCCACCAAGGGGAAUCAACAAAUAAAAGGAUAAUAAAAGCGAACACACGAGGAGAAGAAUAUGAAAUUAGAACCGGACAAAAAAGGAUAAUAUAAGAUGGAACACCGAAUAAAGGAUAGUUAGGAGAACAGCAUCGAGAAAAGCAUAAGAUACACAUGGAUCAUCCAGACUGAAACAAGACCAAAAAAUGGAUGGUAUAAAAAGAACGGAGAAAAGAUAAUGUAAUAAGAACGCACAGAAAAUAACGUAGAAAUGAAACACCAAGAAAAGGAAAAUAAGGAAAAUAUAGAAACAACAUCAGUGAUACCGCCGUUCCGUGGGCUCCGUGGGCGGUAGGAGAAUGAAAUGACCCUUUUCGUAGACGCACAAUAUAAUGUGGUCAAACAUGUCAACAAUAACAUUUACCGCCAGGAUCACAAUCAUGACACUCGAAAACGCCCGUGUCUCUGAGCACUACACCGGGCAGCUGAGCACUUCACUGAACAUCUAACGUUCAGCAUUGUAUU